GACGAACGCUGGCGGCGUGCCUAAUACAUGCAAGUAGAACGCUGAAGCGAGGAGCUUGCUCUUCUUGGAUGAGUUGCGAACGGGUGAGUAACGCGUAGGUAACCUGCCUUGUAGCGGGGGAUAACUAUUGGAAACGAUAGCUAAUACCGCAUAACAAUGGAUGACACAUGUCAUUUAUUUGAAAGGGGCAAUUGCUCCACUACAAGAUGGACCUGCGUUGUAUUAGCUAGUAGGUGAGAUAAUGGCUCACCUAGGCGACGAUACAUAGCCGACCUGAGAGGGUGAUCGGCCACACUGGGACUGAGACACGGCCCAGACUCCUACGGGAGGCAGCAGUAGGGAAUCUUCGGCAAUGGGGGCAACCCUGACCGAGCAACGCCGCGUGAGUGAAGAAGGUUUUCGGAUCGUAAAGCUCUGUUGUAAGUCAAGAACGGGUGUGAGAGUGGAAAGUUCACACUGUGACGGUAGCUUACCAGAAAGGGACGGCUAACUACGUG
rnacentral:rRNA from 1 species